CCAAAGGCCCUUUUCAGGGCCACCCACUUUGUCACUAAAAGACCG
rnacentral:ncRNA from 1 species